AGUGAACGCUGGCGGUAGGCCUAACACAUGCAAGUCGAACGGCAGCACAGUAAGAGCUUGCUCUUACGGGUGGCGAGUGGCGGACGGGUGAGGAAUACAUCGGAAUCUACUUUUUCGUGGGGGAUAACGUAGGGAAACUUACGCCAAUACCGCAUACCACCUACCGGCCACACCACCGGAUCUUCGGCCCUUGCGCGAUUGAAUGAGCCGAUGUCGGAUUAGCUAGUUGGCGGGGUAAAGGCCCACCAAGGCGACGAUCCGUAGCUGGUCUGAGAGGAUGAUCAGCCACACUGGAACUGAGACACGGUCCAGACUCCUACGGGAGGCAGCAGUGGGGAAUAUUGGACAAUGGGCGCAAGCCUGAUCCAGCCAUACCGCGUGGGUGAAGAAGGCCUUCGGGUUGUAAAGCCCUUUUGUUGGGAAAGAAAAGCAGCAGGUUAAUACCCCGCUGUUCUGACGGUACCCAAAGAAUAAGCACCGGCUAACUUCGUG
rnacentral:rRNA from 1 species